rnacentral:rRNA from 1 species
AUUGAACGCUGGCGGCAGGCUUAACACAUGCAAGUCGAGCGAGCGGCACACGGGUGAGUCAUGUCGGGGACAGCGCCUGUUGGAGGGGUAUCACAAGUGGAAACGGUCUCUAAUACCGCAUAACAUCAGAUGUGCCGAGAUGGGCUUCGCUUGUAGGUGGGGUUAUGGCUCACCUAGGCGACGAUCCCUCGCUGGUCUGAGAGGAUGACCAGCCACACUGGAACUGAGACACGGUCCAGACUCCUACGGGAGGCAGCAGUGGGGAAUAUUGCACAAUGGGCGCAAGCCUGAUGCAGCCAUGCCGCGUGUGUGAAGAAGGCCUUCGGGUUGUAAAGCACUUUCAGCGAGGAGGCGUUACUCGCAGAAGAAGCACCGGCUAACUCCGUGCCAGCAGCCGCGGUAAUAC